CAAGAGGAAUUCGGAGACAGGUGCUGCAUGGCUGUCGUCAGCUCGUGUCGUGAGAUGUUGGGUUAAGUCCCGCAACGAGCGCAACCCUUGUCUUAGUUGCCAUCAUUAAGUUGGGCACUCUAAAGAGACUGCCGGUGUCAAACCGGAGGAAGGUGGGGAUGACGUCAAGUCCUCAUGGCCUUUAUGACCAGGGCUACACACGUACUACAAUGGCAGGUACAAAGGGCAGCCACUUAGCGAUAAGGCGCGAAUCCCGUAAAACCUGUCUCAGUCCGGAUUGGAGUCUGCAACUCGACUCCAUGAAGUUGGAAUCGCUAGUAAUCGCAGAUCAGCACGCUGCGGUGAAUACGUUCCCGGGCCUU
rnacentral:rRNA from 1 species